UCGACGAACUUACCCUUUGUUUACAUUGGGAGCGGUUAGUGGCGGACUGGUGAGUAACACGUAAGCAACCUGCCUAUUAGAGGGGAAUAACAGUGAGAAAUCAUUGCUAAUACCGCAUAUGCUCACAGUAUCACAUGAUACAGUGAGGAAAGGAGCAAUCCGCUAAUAGAUGGGCUUGCGUCUGAUUAGCUAGUUGGUGGGGUAACGGCCUACCAAGGCGACGAUCAGUAGCCGGACUGAGAGGUUGAACGGCCACAUUGGGACUGAGAUACGGCCCAGACUCCUACGGGAGGCAGCAGUCGGGAAUAUUGCGCAAUGGAGGAAACUCUGACGCAGUGACGCCGCGUAUAGGAAGAAGGUUUUCGGAUUGUAAACUAUUGUCGUUAGGGAAGAUAAAAGACAGUACCUAAGGAGGAAGCUCCGGCUAACUAUGUGCCAGCAGCCGCGGUAAUACAUAGGGAGCAAGCGUUAUCCGGAAUUAUUGGGUGUAAAGGGUGCGUAGACGGAGGAACAAGUUAGUUGUGAAAUCCCUCGGCUUAACUGAGGAACUGCAACUAAAACUAUUCCCCUUGAGUGUCGGAGAGGAAAGUGGAAUUCCUAGUGUAGCGGUGAAAUGCGUAGAUAUUAGGAGGAACACCAGUGGCGAAGGCGACUUUCUGGACGAUAACUGACGUUGAGGCACGAAAGUGUGGGGAGCAAACAGGAUUAGAUACCCUGGUAGUCCACACUGUAAACGAUGGAUACUAGGUGUAGGGUGUAUUAAGCACUCUGUGCCGCCGCAAACGCAUUAAGUAUCCCACCUGGGGAGUACGACCGNCAGGUUGAAACUCAAAGGAAUNGACGGGGGCCCGCACAAGCAGUGGAGUAUGUGGUUUAAU
rnacentral:rRNA from 1 species